AAUCAACGCUGGCGGCGUGCCUAACACAUGCAAGUCGAACGCGAAAGUCCCUUCGGGGGCGAGUAGAGUGGCGUCCGGGUGAGUAACGCGUGGGUAAUCUACCCUUGGGUGGGGAAUAACCAGUCGAAAGACUGGCUAAUACCGCAUAAUGCAGCGGCUCGACAUCGAGACAGUUGUUAAAGCUCUUCGCAAGAAGGGCGCCUGAGGAGGAGCCUGCGUCUGAUUAGCUAGUUGGCGGAGUAAUAGCCCACCAAGGCGACGAUCAGUAGCUGGUCUGAGAGGAUGAUCAGCCACACUGGGACUGAGACACGGCCCAAACUCCUACGGGAGGCAGCAGUGGGGAAUAUUGGACAAUGGGGGCGAACCCUGAUCCAGCAAUGCCGCGUGUGUGAAGAAGGCCUGCGGGUUGUAAAGCACUUUCAGUAGGGAAGAAAAGACCUGGGGCGUAAUACCUCCGGGUCUUGACGUUACCUAAAGAAGAAGCACCGG
rnacentral:rRNA from 1 species